rnacentral:rRNA from 1 species
UGCAGUCCGAGCGGACAGAAGGGAGCUUGCUCCCGGAUGUUAGCGGCGGACGGGUGAGUAACACGUGGGUAACCUGCCUGUAAGACUGGGAUAACUCCGGGAAACCGGAGCUAAUACCGGAUAGUUCCUUGAACCGCAUGGUUCAAGGAUGAAAGACGGUUUCGGCUGUCACUUACAGAUGGACCCGCGGCGCAUUAGCUAGUUGGUGAGGUAACGGCUCACCAAGGCGACGAUGCGUAGCCGACCUGAGAGGGUGAUCGGCCACACUGGGACUGAGACACGGCCCAGACUCCUACGGGAGGCAGCAGUAGGGAAUCUUCCGCAAUGGACGAAAGUCUGACGGAGCAACGCCGCGUGAGUGAUGAAGGUUUUCGGAUCGUAAAGCUCUGUUGUUAGGGAAGAACAAGUGCAAGAGUAACUGCUUGCACCUUGACGGUACCUAACCAGAAAGCCACGGCUAACUACGUGCCAGCAGCCGCGGUAAUACGUAGGUGGCAAGCGUUGUCCGGAAUUAUUGGGCGUAAAGGGCUCGCAG